UCUGUGGGAUCAGUGGCGAACGGGUGAUUAACACGUGAGCAACCUGCCCCUGACUCUGGGAUAAGCGCUGGAAACGGCGUCUAAUACUGGAUAUGUGACGUGAUCGCAUGGUCUGCGUCUGGAAAGAAUUUCGGUUGGGGAUGGGCUCGCGGCCUAUCAGCUUGUUGGUGAGGUAAUGGCUCACCAAGGCGUCGACGGGUAGCCGGCCUGAGAGGGUGACCGGCCACACUGGGACUGAGACACGGCCCAGACUCCUACGGGAGGCAGCAGUGGGGAAUAUUGCACAAUGGGCGCAAGCCUGAUGCAGCAACGCCGCGUGAGGGAUGACGGCCUUCGGGUUGUAAACCUCUUUUAGCAGGGAAGAAGCGAAAGUGACGGUACCUGCAGAAAAAGCGCCGGCUAACUACGUGCCAGCAGCCGCGGUAAUACGUAGGGCGCAAGCGUUAUCCGGAAUUAUUGGGCGUAAAGAGCUCGUAGGCGGUUUGUCGCGUCUGCUGUGAAAUCCGGAGGCUCAACCUCCGGCCUGCAGUGGGUACGGGCAGACUAGAGUGCGGUAGGGGAGAUUGGAAUUCCUGGUGUAGCGGUGGAAUGCGCAGAUAUCAGGAGGAACACCGAUGGCGAAGGCAGAUCUCUGGGCCGUAACUGACGCUGAGGAGCGAAAGGGUGGGGAGCAAACAGGCUUAGAUACCCUGGUAGUCCACCCCGUAAACGUUGGGAACUAGUUGUGGGGUCCAUUCCACGGAUUCCGUGACGCAGCUAACGCAUUAAGUUCCCCGCCUGGGGAGUWCGGCCGCAAGGCUAAAACUCAAAGGAAUUGACGGGGACCCGCACAAGCGGCGGAGCAUGCGGAUUAAUUCGAUGCAACGCGAAGAACCUUACCAAGGCUUGACAUAUACGAGAACGGGCCAGAAAUGGUCAACUCUUUGGACACUCGUAAACAGGUGGUGCAUGGUUGUCGUCAGCUCGUGUCGUGAGAUGUUGGGUUAAGUCCCGCAACGAGCGCAACCCUCGUUCUAUGUUGCCAGCACGUAAUGGUGGGAACUCAUGGGAUACUGCCGGGGUCAACUCGGAGGAAGGUGGGGAUGACGUCAAAUCAUCAUGCCCCUUAUGUCUUGGGCUUCACGCAUGCUACAAUGGCCGGUACAAAGGGCUGCAAUACCGCGAGGUGGAGCGAAUCCCAAAAAGCCGGUCCCAGUUCGGAUUGAGGUCUGCAACUCGACCUCAUGAAGUCGGAGUCGCUAGUAAUCGCAGAUCAGCAACGCUGCGGUGAAUACGUUCCCGGGUCUUGUACACACCGCCCGUCAAGUCAUGAAAGUCGGUAACACCUGAAGC
rnacentral:rRNA from 1 species